rnacentral:misc_RNA from 1 species
UCUGUAGCUAGAUCGUGAGCUAAUAUCACUUUUCUUAUCCUUUCAAUUGGAUCACGUUCCUGUCUCACGCCACUAAUCUCAUCACGAGUACGGUAGGUGCUGCCAGGAUCAGACAUGGAGUGACCAUGAUACCUGUAGGUAUCCAUUUCAAGUAUAAUUGGCCCAUUCCUCAAGACAUGCUCCUUUGCAAAUUUGCAUGCUUGUUUGACAGCAAGAGCAUCCAUGCCAUCUACCUUCAGGCCAGGAACGUAAUCCCCACGCUUGUAGUAAGCGGGACUCUUAGACGCUCUCCACUCCGCCGUCCCCAUACCAUGGUGAUUGUUCUCGCAGAUCAAAAUGACAG